GUCCUAAUCCCUGGAAACCCAUGCAUGCAUUAUGUAACAAGGUAAAGGGAAUUAAAUCUGCACAUGAAUUAAGGCUGCCACUUGUUUUACCUAAAAAUGGAUAGAUCAUCCUGGAUUAUAUGUGUGGGCAAAUGUAAUCACAAGGGCCCUUAAUUGGGGAAGAGAGGCGGAGGACGGGGUGCUGGGAGCUUCUAACGGAACAAUCCCAGUGAUUCCUCUCAGCAGCAGCCCCCUCUGUGACAGGAUUCCAGCAGCCAGGGCAAGCAGACCCCAUAUGUGCGCCAAUCAAUUAAGAAACAAAAUGCCAAUCUUUUCCUCUAAAACUCUCUGGUGGGUCACACAUCAGGGAGUGUUUGUUCAACUGAACAAGAGCAACAAGGACUCCAUCCUUUAUGUAGGUAGAGUUUAGCUGAAUGAGUGUCCAAAGAAUAGAUUCUGAAUUAGACACACUUCCUGGCAUGAAGGAAUACACUGCCUGGAUCCAGGUACUGAGUGUCACACUGCAUGUGUGACACCACAGUGCAUGACCAGGUUCUGCAUGUGAAAGGAAAUUGAUGUAAUAUGGAGGCUCAGAGCGAUUCCCAGAUGUUUGGAAAGGGGAACUGGGAAGGCUUCAUGGAGGUGGUGAUAUUGAAGAUGAAUCGUGGAGGACAAAUUCAAAAUACUCAUGGAACAAAAAGAAACAAUGUAGGGAAAGGGGAUGGCACAUACAGAGUCAUGAUUUUUUUUUUCUUUUUCUGAGACAGUCUCACUCUGUCGCCCAGGCUGGAGUGCAGUGGUGCUAUCUCGACUCAUCGCAACUUCCACCUUCCAGGUUCAAAUGAUUUUUCUGCCUCAGCCUCCCAAUUAGCUGAGACUACAGACACAGGCCACCAUGCCUAAUUUUUGUAUUUUUAGUAGAGACAAGGUUUCACCAUAUUGGCCAGGCUGGUCUUGAACUCCUGACCUCAUGAUCCACCCACCCAGCCUCCCAAAGUGUUGGGAUUACAGAUGGCACCUUUUGACUCUGUCCUCACAUCGAGGAAGGAACAAGAGACUUCUCUGGGGUCUCUUUUAUAAGGCCACUGAUACCAUCCAUGAGUGCUCCACCUCCAUGAACUAUUCACCUUCCAAAAGGCUCUACCUCCUAAUGCUAUCACCUUUGAGGUUAGUAUUUCAACACAAGAAUUUUGCAAGGACACAAACAUUCAGACCAUGGCAGGGAUCUCUCUCUUUACAAACUUUUGGUAAGCUUUUAGCUCGCAGUUCUUACCAGUACAUCUAUGCUGCCCUGAACCUGAUCCCACUAAAGAAACACAG
rnacentral:lncRNA from 13 species